rnacentral:rRNA from 1 species
GACGAACGCUGGCGGCGUGCUUAACACAUGCAAGUCGAACGGAAAGGCCCUGCUUUUGUGGGGUGCUCGAGUGGCGAACGGGUGAGUAACACGUGGGUAACCUGCCCUUGACUUUGGGAUAACUUCAGGAAACUGGGGCUAAUACCGGAUAGGAGCUCCUGCUGCAUGGUGGGGGUUGGAAAGUUUCGGCGGUUGGGGAUGGACUCGCGGCUUAUCAGCUUGUUGGUGGGGUAGUGGCUUACCAAGGCUUUGACGGGUAGCCGGCCUGAGAGGGUGACCGGCCACAUUGGGACUGAGAUACGGCCCAGACUCCUACGGGAGGCAGCAGUGGGGAAUAUUGCACAAUGGGCGGAAGCCUGAUGCAGCAACGCCGCGUGCGGGAUGACGGCCUUCGGGUUAUAAACCGCUUUCGCCUGUGACGAAGCGUGAGUGACGGUAAUGGGUAAAGAAGCACCGGCUAACUACGUG